UACGGAGGAUUCAAGCGUUAUCCGGAUUUAUUGGGUUUAAAGGGUGCGUAGGCGGUUUGAUAAGUUAGAGGUGAAAUUUCGGGGCUCAACCCUGAACGUGCCUCUAAUACUGUUGAGCUAGAGAGUAGUUGCGGUAGGCGGAAUGUAUGGUGUAGCGGUGAAAUGCUUAGAGAUCAUACAGAACACCGAUUGCGAAGGCAGCUUACCAAACUAUAUCUGACGUUGAGGCACGAAAGCGUGGGGAGCAAACAGGAUUAGAUACCCUGGUAGUCCACGCAGUAAACGAUGAUAACUCGUUGUCGGCGAUACACAGUCGGUGACUAAGCGAAAGCGAUAAGUUAUCCACCUGGGGAGUACGUUCGCAAGAAUGAA
rnacentral:rRNA from 1 species